AAGGAGGAAGAGGAGGAGGAGGAGGGUGUGUUACUGAAUGGUGGCUAAAGCCUCCUCGGGACGGCGCUGAGGUGAAACAGGCUGAACCCGACUGAUGUGGCUCCUCUCUCGGUUGGACCCAGUGCCCUAAGCAGCCGAUGAGAGACCCCCGGCCGCCCGGCUCGCAGGAAGACUUCAUAAAUUAUUAAAUGACACUUGAUCAAGUUAACAAUGGAGUUAACUACAAGCAGGUAUCUUUUUAGUGCUGAAAUGGACACACUAAUUGUGAACCAUGUGGUAAGGAGCUCCUUCUGAAAUAUGCAGCAGUAUAUUUACCGGAAUUUAACAGGCUGUGUACUUUAAAGCUUCUCUUGCCUGUAAUCAUAUGAAAAAACCUUGGAAGUGACAAAGCCAGCUUGAGAUCCAGCACAGCACGUAACAGCAGCACUGAUAGAGCCCCUGCCACCAGGCAAGGGACAGAAAGGAGAUGGUGAUGUGCAACGGGAUGAGAGACCUCGCUUACCAGGAGUUGCUCACGGUUUUGCUUCUGGCAACUAAGAUUUCCAUUUUUCUCAAAGCUUCUACAUCUGUGUCAUCAGACAAAGCCCCAUGAGUGGUAGCAGAGCAAACUGUGGCCUUCAUUUUCAAGUUCGAAGAGAAAAAAUUAUUUACAUGUCUAAAUCCCAGAACUGUUCAGAGGUCACUCUUUGUUGCCCACUGCUAUGAACCAUUAAGGCUCCUGAAAGCUCUAAAAGAAGCAGGAUGUAGUCUGGGGCAGAAAAGUCUUAUUGUUUUAAAUUUGUUUAAUUUUAUUUUGUUGUAUUAUAUGAUUUUUGUCCUACCAGAGGAACGUGGAAGAUGGGGUGUUUCUGUCAUUGCUUGCAUGAAUGACUAUUUAAACUGACUGUCAGAGCUUGCAGGACAAAUCUUUGACCCUUCUUAAGAUAGUUUUAAACUGAAGGAGAUUGUAUUUUAAUUGAUUAGGACUGUAGACUGUUUUUAAAGGAAAAUUAUUGAUUCAUGCAAUGAAUUUUACUGUUUUAUCACCCUUCCACCUCAGUGCUUAUAGAUGUUUUUGGUGACAAAAUUAGGUAAAUAUUUAACUAUGUGUUUUAAUGUUGCUUUUUUUUUUUUUUUCUUUUGUGUUUUAGACAUGUUUUCCUGAAUCAAACCCUUGAAUUUAGUGCAAUUAGUACAAUUGUACGGUUAAUACAAUUUCCAGACAUGUCAGUAAGAGUUUCUGUACUAACUGUGGGAAUGUAAAUGUUAAGAGGAAGCACAAGUAAUGACUUUUUUUUCCAUUCACAAAGGAAGCACUAAGACAUCAGGGUUAUUCAACAGAAAUGAAUAAAUGCAGCCUGGAAAGCUGUCGUUUUUCUAAACUGUGAGAGGAUUUCUGAAAUAAUAAAGAUAACACAAAACAAAAACCUGGAGAAAUUCUCUAAUUUUCUUAAAAAAAAAUAGGAAACAAAGCAAAGCAAAACAAACAAACAACAACAACAAAAAAAGGCAUUUCACAGUGAAGAAAAUCUUCAGGCAGUGGAAAAAAGGAUUUGCUUGACAGAGUGUUGGGCUAGCUUGAAAGAAUGAUCCAGGGCCUGUUCUUUGCUGCUGCUUCAAAAUUGUGUUGGGUGUUUAAUCUUAGUUUCCCAGUUUGCAAAUAGAAGAUGAUAAUGCUCUUUUUUGCAGUGCUGUGCAGUCUCUAGAAGUUUCACAAUGAAAGAGAAAAAUGUUUCAUAAAGUAUUUAAAAUUGCCUGUUGGCCCUCAUGAUUUUAAAAUAAAAGUUUGGACUACACAUCUUUGAGGAGAUGGCUCUCUAGGGCAAUUUGGGCAAUGUUUAAGUGGGGUGACUUUUGGGUUUGCCUUUUUUUUUUUUUUAAACUCUUGAAUGGACUGUUUUUUGGUAUCCUCUCUGGAACAUGCUGGUCUCUGGAGACUGAUGGAAAUGAAGGCUGCUGUGAAUAAAAAAGCCUUCGUUAGGAGAUCUCAUCAUCAUCAGAAUUCUGUCAUCCUCACAAAAAUUUGAAAUUAGUAUGGCCCAUAUCUUAUAUUUCAGCUACUAAACUUUCAGCAACAUUUUCUCCGGCUAACAUCUUAAAUGCCAUGGCUUUCCCAUUAGAUAAGCAGGCUGAUUUCAUUACUAUUUCUUGACAGAACAAGAUUAAAAAAAAACCCACCUUGUGUUGUGAAUCUCCUGUAGAGAAUUUUGGUGACAGAAACACACCUGUUGCUAUAUGGCUGUACAUAUUUAUGAUACAGAAAAGGAAAUUAGUGGAAUCUGUAGAAAACCUAUACAAGCAUAAAAUACAGCAAGCAAAUGGCCUCUCCACAGUUUAUUCCGGCAGUACAAUACUAUUCAUGUAUUUUCUGACAACAGGCAACGGGUACACUGAGGGUGGUGUGUCUCCUGACCCCUGCCCCAUGAUUCCAGCCUUUAGCUCUGCUCCAGUGUGGCUGGUUGUCACCACAGGGCUGGUCAAUGGGACUGUAAAGAAGAUUUGUCCUCUAGCAUAUCCCAUACCUUGACCCUGAGUGUAGCUCCGUGCUCUUGCGAAGAGUCUUGAAAUGUGUUCUGGCCCGGAACAAGAGCUCAAGUUUUUAAGUUUAGAGACAUAAAAAGCCUUAAAAUAAUUUGACUCCUGCCCUAUCUGAAACUUUCAGCAUUUAGGGUAGGAAAGGCAAUUAACUCACCAGAUAGAGAAUUAAAAUGUUUUACCAUAAUUUCAAAAGUAAGAAUGUAACGUUUUUCUCUCUAGGUUACCAGUGAAGGGACAAUAGUGUUUGUUACCUGCAGUUUUGCCAGUGGUAGGUGCCAGCUCACAGCUGAAGCACAGGUGUAUGAAAUGCUUGUUAUUUAUCACUGACAUGCUCACAAGAUGCCAACAAAUAUAUCAGGCUCUACUAUAACAGAAGGAACCAUAACUAGUGUAUGAUAAAAAUGGACGUGUUAUAAUUGUUGGUGAAUUAAGAUUAAAAAAGAGAUUAACCAUUGAUAACAAUUUGUUAUCUGUCUUUAAUUAAACCCAGAGUGAUUUAAAUAAAUAGGAACAUCUUUAGGGCUUAUGUUUUAAUUGUGAAAAUGACUAAUUUGUGUAUGUUGUUAUUUCAAGUUACUUUAACUGUAUUACUAAGUUCAAGAAGCAGAAUUGCAUUCCAUCUGGUGAUUAUUUACUUUCAUUAAUCAUACAGUCAGAAAACAUAGAAUUAAAAAAAAAAUAGUUACUGCAAACAUGAUUGAACAUAAUAAAGAAAUUUAGGUGACAAAUGUGUCCAUAUGGAACCUGAAAAUUUUAACACUGUUGAAAAACUGAAUAGAGAAAACAGUCAGGGAGCUACAAAUGCUGUGAUUUCCACAAAAAGCCUGUUUUUCUACUAUUUCAACUGGUUUAUAUAUCAAGAGUAGAUGUAUAUAAACUGCUUUGAUGAUAUUUUUAUUUUUUUAAUUAAUAUAUUAUGUGUUCUACUGAGAUUGAAGCUGUUUACUUUCACUGAACUGUGAAUCUCUAAGCCAAGUUAAAUAUACAAGGAGACCUAGUAUGUUAAUUUAAGGAUCAAAAAAUGUUUCCAGUUGUUUAUAUUAGGUGUGUCACUAAAACAUCUUCAGACUUAAGGAGAUGCGUGACUCACCUGAGGACGAGGUAUGUUAAAUCGUUUACAGGUUGGGCAUUUUCCAGAUCAUGGGUGCUAUAAUUCUGAUACCUUUAAAAACCACUGAGUUGACUUGCAGACAAUUACCCUCUAGAGGAAAUUACUCAGAAUCCUCACUAGAUCAACAGCAAGUCUACAGGUGUACUUCUGUACAGUGGGACAUGAGCACCCUGUCUCCUGUCUUAGACAUGAAAGCCAUAUAAUAAAUAAUAAUAAAAAUAACAAUAACAAACCCCAUAGCAAUAAUAAAUAUCUAAUAUAUAACAAAGAAAAAGUCUUAGUAAUUUGGUAUAUAUCUAAUAUGCUGAAAUUCAGAAUUAUUAAUGCUGGCCCAACUCAUCAGAUUGCAUCAUAGAAAAGUCAUUUUUGCUGCAUUGUUACAGAUGUUCCAACUAUGCAAACACAACAGGUUGCAGUACCAUACUUUUAAAACUCCAGUGGUAUGAGAAUGUGCACAUGUGUGCAGCAGAUCACUGGUUAUUGCAGUAAAGGCAGUCUCUGCUUCUGCUAUAUAUUUUCCCAGCUGAUAUGCUCUCUUUUUUUGAGCUUGUCAUAUGGUAUAACACUUUUACUAGUUGACUCCUCCCACUUUUCUUCAAACCACAUCCUGAUUUUUGGCCUCAGAAACUAAACAUAUGCACAACUUGCUGAACAACACAUGAUAUUGUUUCUGUAUAACAUCAUACCACCUGGGAUAUAAAUUCUUACAGACAAUUUUAUGUGAAUGAAAAAUACCUACAUUAAGACAUUUUCCAUAGUUGUGCAAUACAUACCACAGUAGAGCACAUGGUUUUGAGUCAGAGAUCCUCACUUAAAAUUAUAACAAAAGUCUCAAGCCAGGCCACAGAUCUUCAGGCAAUGUAUUUUUAAUAGAUCAUUCUAAUUUAUCUCUCCUUUUUUUCUUCUUUUAUUCUGUUUUGGAUUUCUGAAAUCCAGCCAUAGCUAGUUUGUGGGCUU